rnacentral:rRNA from 1 species
GAUGAACGCUGGCGGCGUGCCUAAUACAUGCAAGUCGAGCGAACGGACGAGAAUCUUGCUUCUCUGAUGUUAGCGGCGGACGGGUGAGUAACACGUGGAUAACCUACCUCUAAGACUGGGAUAACUUCGAGAAACCGUAGCUAAUACCGGAUAAUAUUUUGAACCGCAGGGUUCAAAAGUGAAAGACGGUCUUGCUGUCACUUAUAGAUGGAUCCGCGCUGCAUUAGCUAGUUGGUAAGGUAACGGCUUACCAAGGCAACGAUGCAUAGCCGACCUGAGAGGGUGAUCGGCCACGCUGGAACUGAGACACGGUCCAGACUCCUACGGGAGGCAGCAGUAGGGAAUCUUCCGCGAUGAGCGAAAGCCUGACGGAGCAACGCCGCGUGAGUGAUGAAGGUCUUCGGAUCGUAAAACUCUGUUAUUAGGGAAGAACAUAUGUGUAAGUAACUGUGCACAUCUUGACGGUACCUAAACAGAAAGCCACGGCUAACUACGUG